rnacentral:rRNA from 1 species
AACUGAAACAUCUAAGUACCCGGAGGAAAGGACAUCAACGAGACUCCGUUAGUAGUGGCGAGCGAACGCGGACCAGGCCAGUGUUGUGUUUGGUGAUAUCGGAACCGGAUGGAAAACCGGGCCUCAGCGGGUGACAGCCCCGUACGAGUACGAUCCAGACGCAGCCACGAGUAGGGCGGGACACGUGCAAUCCUGUCUGAACAUGGGGGGACCACCCUCCAAGCCUAAGUACUCCUCAGCGACCGAUAGCGAACAAGUACCGUGAGGGAAAGGUGAAAAGCACCCCGACGAGGGGAGUGAAACAGUUCCUGAAACCGGACACCUACAAACAGUCGGAGCCCAAGGUUCGUCCUGGGUGACGGCGUACCUUUUGUAUAAUGGGUCAGCGACUUAAUUUGACGAGCAAGCUUAAGCCGAUAGGCGUAGGCGCAGCGAAAGCGAGUCUGAACAGGGCGUUCAGUUCGUCGGAUUAGACCCGAAACCGAGUG